rnacentral:lncRNA from 1 species
CUUUUAUGAGGUAAAAUAAAGACAAUUUCUCAUGAAUAGAUCUAUCACCAGAAGACAGACAUGCUGAAUGAUAUUAGAGAGAAACUUGGAUCAUUGAGUGUGAAGAAAGAGAAACAAGUGGCCAAAGUAGUGCUUAUCUAUAAUCCCAGUUACUCAGGAGGCUGAGGAAGGAGGAUUACAAACUCAAGGUCAGCCUGGGCAACUUAGGCCCUUUCUCAAAAAAAAAUGUAAAAUACAAAGAGCUGGGGAUAUAGCUCAGUGGUAGGGCAGCCCUGGACUCGACCCUCAGUACAGGGGGGAAGGAAAGAAGAAGUAAAGAAAACAAAAAUGUAAACACCAUACAAUACUACUUUACUCUCUUAAACUCCUGGAAGUACUGAGUAUUGAAAGAAAAACAUGAAAAAGAAAUGUUGUGUUGCCUGGUAGAGUUUUCUGUGUUAUAUAUUUUUUCUGUGUUAUAUAUUGAUAUUAUAAAUAUGGCAACUACAACAUGACUGGAGAAUAAAUGACUUAUAUUGGUAAGGCUUCAAAAUUCCACUUCAGGUACUAAAAGCAUUAACUCCCAGAAGAUGGUGAAAAUACAAACAUUGCAGUCUCUAGAGAAACCACUAAAAACAAACUAUACAACAAGCUGUAGUCAAAAAUUCAAUUGGUGAAUUAAAAUAGAAGACUAAAAACUAUUCAAAUAAAGAAAAGAAGACAGAAAAGGGGGGAAGGAGAAGAAAUAUAUAGAACAAUCAGAAAACAAAUGAUAAAAUAAUAGACAAAAUACAAACACAUCAGUAAUGACACUAAAUAUACAUGGCCUACACAUACCAAUUAAAAGACAGAGACUGUCAGAAUUUAUUCUUAAAAUGCCCUAACUAUAUUCUGUGUAUAAGAAACUUACUUCAAGAAUAUUUAAAAGUAGGUAGGUUGAAAACAAAAGGUGGGAAAGGUUGUACUAUGUAAACACUAAUCAAAAGAAAGCUGAGCAACUGUUUCUAAGCAAGAAAAAUUAUCAGGGAUAAGGAGGAACAUGAAUUAUAUAAUGACAAAAUAGACAAUUCACAAAGAAGAUGUGACAGUUCUAAUGCGCAUCCUCCUAACAAGAGAACUUAAAAAUAUAUGAAGUAAAAUAGGAUACAACUGAAAGGAAAUGAAAAACAUUCACAGUUAAAGUUAGAGACCUCAAAGCUCUUCUCUUCAUAACUGAUAUGUCAAGUUCAUAGAAAAUCAGCAAGGAUACAAAAGAAGAACCGAACAAAAACACCAGUCAACUCAAUCUAACUGACAUUUACAAACUACUCCACCCAACAAGAACAGAAUACUUGAACAAGGAACAGUCACUGAGAGAAGUCAUACCCUGUAUCACAUCAUGGGAAGAAAAUUCAACAUAAUUUAAAGAAUGAAAAUCACACACACACAAAAAUAUCUUCCCCAACUGAAAUGGAAUGAAUUGAAAUAGAAACCAAAAAGAUAUUGGCAAGUAGGACAUUUGCAAUAUACUUUUAUAACCUUCUCUUUCUACAAGUCCCUUACAUUUCAGCCAAACCUUGCUCUUUAAGCAUGCAAAAUGCUUUCUGUGUUAAUUGGCUUCUUGUCUCCAUGACCAAAGUACCUUACAAGAACAACUCAAAGGAGGAAAAGUUCAUUUUGGGCUCACCGUUUCAGAGGUUCAGUCUAUGGUCAGCCAACUCCAUUUCUCUGGGCCUGAGUGAAACAGAGCACCAAGAUGGAAGGAAAAGGUGGGGCAGAGCUGCUCAGGUCAUGGCAAGCAGGAAGACGAGAACAAGGUUCCAGAGACAAGAUAAAAUCCAUAAAGCUGCAUCCCCAGUGACCUAC